GCCCGCCUAGCUCAAUCGGAUAGAGCGUCAGACUCUUAGAAGCGGGUUAUCUGAAGGCUGCGAGUUCGACCCUCGGUGGGCU